UGGGGAAUAUUGGACAAUGGGCGAAAGCCUGAUCCAGCCAUGCCGCGUGUGUGAAGAAGGUCUUCGGAUUGUAAAGCACUUUAAGUUGGGAGGAAGGGCAGUUACCUAAUACGUGAUUGUUUUGACGUUACCGACAGAAUAAGCACCGGCUAACUCUGUGCCAGCAGCCGCGGUAAUACAGAGGGUGCAAGCGUUAAUCGGAAUUACUGGGCGUAAAGCGCGCGUAGGUGGUUAGUUAAGUUGGAUGUGAAAUCCCCGGGCUCAACCUGGGAACUGCAUUCAAAACUGACUGACUAGAGUAUGGUAGAGGGUGGUGGAAUUUCCUGUGUAGCGGUGAAAUGCGUAGAUAUAGGAAGGAACACCAGUGGCGAAGGCGACCACCUGGACUGAUACUGACACUGAGGUGCGAAAGCGUGGGGAGCAAACAGGAUUAGAUACCCGCGUAG
rnacentral:rRNA from 1 species